CCGUUUGAGUUAAUCAACGUCAGGGACCAACGUUUUGGGCUGAAUAUCUCCAUAUCGACCGCUACCAGAGCCCUAUUCGUGACAGCGGUAAAUUAAUCAAAAUUCAUCAACGGGCUCCCAAACCUGCAUGUACAUGUGGAUGACCCCUGGGGCUGACAGAUGCCAUCCAGUAGCCACCGAGGGGGAAGACCCAUGAGGGUCAACAACCCCUGGAUUGGGCAAACCUGAAAACUGGGGAGUCACCGAAGUCUGCCAAGGACAGAUAAAAAGCACUGAAAAGUGACCCUUGAUCUCCAACUUGACCAGCACCCGACCUGUCUAGCCAGAAGGACUAGCCGGUGACCCCCUUCUGGAGGAUAACACCACGCUGGAAGAAGCCUCAACUGGCCAUUGAUGGCAGACUCCAGCACUUGUGGGAUAGGUAUACCCAACUCUGGUGUCCCCCAUCCCCACAAACAUUCGUAGCUUCCUACUGUGUGUGUGCAUGUGUGUGUGUGUGUGAGGGGACCAGCCCCAAAGUUUAUGAUUUGACUUCAUUACAGUGUUUCAAUCUGCCUAAUAAACCAGAAUUUCAAGAAUCCUGAGUUGGACAUUUGUAGCCAACAAAUUCUACUGGGAGACAGGGA